ACAUCGAGUGAUCCUCAUAUUGGGGGUCUGUCCACCCGUCUAAAAAACGGGUGUUAGCAAGGGCCGGGCAAGACCGGUGCCAGCCGCCGCGGUAAUACCGGCGGCUCGAGUGGUGGCCGAUAUUAUUGAGUCUAAAGGGUCCGUAGCCGGCUUUGCAAGUCUCUCGGGAAAUCCAGCGGCUUAACCGUUGGUCGUCCGGGGGGUACUACAUUGCUUGGGACUGGGAGAGGUAGGAGGUACUCAGGGGGUAGGAGUGAAAUCCUGUAAUCCUUUGGGGACCACCGGUGGCGAAGGCGUCCUACCAGAACAGGUCCGACGGUGAGGGACGAAAGCUAGGGGCACGAACCGGAUUAGAUACCCGGGUAGUCCUAGCCGUAAACGAUGCUCGCUAGGUGUCACAACAGUCGUGAACUGUUGUGGUGCCGUAGGGAAGCCGUGAAGCGAGCCACUUGGGAAGUACGACCGCAAGGUUGAAACUUAA
rnacentral:rRNA from 1 species